AAGAUAUUAGUAAAGUAAAUUACACCAUCUUGUCAAGAUGGAAUCACAAGUUAAACUCUUGUAUAUCUUA
rnacentral:tRNA from 1 species